AGCGUACACGGUGGAUGCCCUGGCAGUCAGAGGCGAUGAAGGGCGUGCUAAUCUGCGAUAAGCGCCGGUAAGGUGAUAUGAACCGUUAUAACCGGCGAUACCCGAAUGGGGAAACCCAGUGUGAUUCGUCACACUAUCAUUAACUGAAUCCAUAGGUUAAUGAGGCGAACCGGGGGAACUGAAACAUCUAAGUACCCCGAGGAAAAGAAAUCAACCGAGAUUCCCCCAGUAGCGGCGAGCGAACGGGGAGGAGCCCAGAGCCUGAAUCAGCAUGUGUGUUAGUGGAAGCGUCUGGAAAGGCGCGCGAUACAGGGUGACAGCCCCGUACACAAAAGCGCAUGUGCUGUGAGCUCGAUGAGUAGGGCGGGACACGUGGUAUCCUGUCUGAAUAUGGGGGGACCAUCCUCCAAGGCUAAAUACUCCUGACUGACCGAUAGUGAACCAGUACCGUGAGGGAAAGGCGAAAAGAACCCCGGCGAGGGGAGUGAAAAAGAACCUGAAACCGUGUACGUACAAGCAGUGGGAGCACAGGUUUACCUGUGUGACUGCGUACCUUUUGUAUAAUGGGUCAGCGACUUAUAUUCUGUAGCAAGGUUAACCGAAUAGGGGAGCCGGAGGGAAACCGAGUCUUAAUUGGGCGUUAAGUUGCAGGGUAUAGACCCGAAACCCGGUGAUCUAGCCAUGGGCAGGUUGAAGGUUGGGUAACACUAACUGGAGGACCGAACCGACUAAUGUUGAAAAAUUAGCGGAUGACCUGUGGCUGGGGGUGAAAGGCCAAUCAAACCGGGAGAUAGCUGGUUCUCCCCGAAAGCUAUUUAGGUAGCGCCUCGUGAAUUCAUCUCCGGGGGUAGAGCACUGUUUCGGCUAGGGGGCCAUCCCGGCUUACCAACCCGAUGCAAACUGCGAAUACCGGAGAAUGUUAUCACGGGAGACACACGGCGGGUGCUAACGUCCGUCGUGAAGAGGGAAACAACCCAGACCGCCAGCUAAGGUCCCAAAGUCAUGGUUAAGUGGGAAACGAUGUGGGAAGGCCCAGACAGCCAGGAUGUUGGCUUAGAAGCAGCCAUCAUUUAAAGAAAGCGUAAUAGCUCACUGGUCGAGUCGGCCUGCGCGGAAGAUGUAACGGGGCUAAACCAUGCACCGAAGCUGCGGCAGCGACGCUGAUGCGUUGUUGGGUAGGGGAGCGUUCUGUAAGCCUGCGAAGGUGACCUGUGAGGGUUGCUGGAGGUAUCAGAAGUGCGAAUGCUGACAUAAGUAACGAUAAAGCGGGUGAAAAGCCCGCUCGCCGGAAGACCAAGGGUUCCUGUCCAACGUUAAUCGGGGCAGGGUGAGUCGACCCCUAAGGCGAGGCCGAAAGGCGUAGUCGAUGGGAAACGGGUUAAUAUUCCCGUACUUGGUGUUACUGCGAAGGGGGGACGGAGAAGGCUAUGUUGGCCGGGCGACGGUUGUCCCGGUUUAAGCGUGUAGGUGUGUGUUCCAGGUAAAUCCGGUUCACUUUAACACUGAGGCGUGACGACGAGGCACUACGGUGCUGAAGCAACAAAUGCCCUGCUUCCAGGAAAAGCCUCUAAGCAUCAGGUAACACGAAAUCGUACCCCAAACCGACACAGGUGGUCAGGUAGAGAAUACCAAGGCGCUUGAGAGAACUCGGGUGAAGGAACUAGGCAAAAUGGUGCCGUAACUUCGGGAGAAGGCACGCUGACACGUAGGUGAAGUGAUUUACUCAUGGAGCUGAAGUCAGUCGAAGAUACCAGCUGGCUGCAACUGUUUAUUAAAAACACAGCACUGUGCAAACACGAAAGUGGACGUAUACGGUGUGACGCCUGCCCGGUGCCGGAAGGUUAAUUGAUGGGGUCAGCGCAAGCGAAGCUCCUGAUCGAAGCCCCGGUAAACGGCGGCCGUAACUAUAACGGUCCUAAGGUAGCGAAAUUCCUUGUCGGGUAAGUUCCGACCUGCACGAAUGGCGUAAUGAUGGCCAGGCUGUCUCCACCCGAGACUCAGUGAAAUUGAACUCGCUGUGAAGAUGCAGUGUACCCGCGGCAAGACGGAAAGACCCCGUGAACCUUUACUAUAGCUUGACACUGAACAUUGAGCCUUGAUGUGUAGGAUAGGUGGGAGGCUUUGAAGUGUGGACGCCAGUCUGCAUGGAGCCGACCUUGAAAUACCACCCUUUAAUGUUUGAUGUUCUAACGUGGACCCGUAAUCCGGGUUGCGGACAGUGUCUGGUGGGUAGUUUGACUGGGGCGGUCUCCUCCUAAAGAGUAACGGAGGAGCACGAAGGUUGGCUAAUCCUGGUCGGACAUCAGGAGGUUAGUGCAAUGGCAUAAGCCAGCUUGACUGCGAGCGUGACGGCGCGAGCAGGUGCGAAAGCAGGUCAUAGUGAUCCGGUGGUUCUGAAUGGAAGGGCCAUCGCUCAACGGAUAAAAGGUACUCCGGGGAUAACAGGCUGAUACCGCCCAAGAGUUCAUAUCGACGGCGGUGUUUGGCACCUCGAUGUCGGCUCAUCACAUCCUGGGGCUGAAGUAGGUCCCAAGGGUAUGGCUGUUCGCCAUUUAAAGUGGUACGCGAGCUGGGUUUAGAACGUCGUGAGACAGUUCGGUCCCUAUCUGCCGUGGGCGCUGGAGAACUGAGGGGGGCUGCUCCUAGUACGAGAGGACCGGAGUGGACGCAUCACUGGUGUUCGGGUUGUCAUGCCAAUGGCACUGCCCGGUAGCUAAAUGCGGAAGAGAUAAGUGCUGAAAGCAUCUAAGCACGAAACUUGCCCCGAGAUGAGUUCU
rnacentral:rRNA from 1 species